AGCCUUCUGUAUCCGUGCUGCGAUUUCGCCACAUACUAGGCCACAAGGGUUGAUGAAACUCCCAAGAUAAGUGAAGAG
rfam:Schistosoma mattheei strain Denwood, Zambia genome assembly, scaffold: SMTD_scaffold0003201